AGAGAGAGAGGGAGGGAGGGAGGGAGGGAGAGAAAGAGAAGAAGGAAGGAAGGAAGGGAGGGAGGGAGGGAGGGAGGUUUCCUGAAGUUUGGCUUCCAGAUUUUAUGUGAUAAUAUUUUGGGCCAGGGUGAUUAGCUGUAAAGAAGUAAAGAUUCUCAUCCCAGAAGUGCUCUGGGAUCCUAAAAUAAUAAGGAAGGCUGUGUAAACUAUACUUUAUCUGGUAUAGGCUGUUCAUCUGAAAGUACCCAGAGUGAGCUAUUGAUACUGAUGUUGGAGAGAAAUCUGCAACAGAAGUCAAAUCUAUCAUUUCAUUCAACUGAAUCCAGAGUUGAAAGGUAUAAAAAAAUCAAAUACUCAGUUUCUUUGAUUGUGGAUCCCACAUAGAGAGGCCCUUUGAGGCAUUGUUCCAAUAAGAAACUUGGUUUGAUUGAGGCUUAAUCCAUUCUUUGUGAUCUUCUAUAGCUCUUUCUAUCCAACACUCAAUGGCCACAGUUCAUUCUGGUUUUGCUUGGACUGACGUGGAUGCCCAGAAAGACCAAAAUCUUGUGUCUAUUCAAAGACUCAGAUAGAUACAUAACAAUGAAAGGUAGUUUGACAAUUGGCUUUUUGAAAUAAAUUUACCCUAUGAUUGGCAAUGGUUAUCAAGUUAUAUUUUCAAUUUUAUGCAUAUGGUUUAUAUUCUAGGUUCUGUGAGGUGCACUUUGAGAACUGUUGAGUAUAUAUUUUUUGACAUCCUAUUCAAUGAAGCAAUAGACCUACAGAAUGUCCUCAAUUUAUGGCCACAAUUGGGACCAGAAUUUAUGUUGAUAAGCAAAGCAGUUGUUAAGUGAUCCAUACCCAAUUUUAUGAUCUUUUUUGUUACAUUUGUUAAGCAAACCGCUGCAAUUGUUAAGUGAAUAACCUGGCUUCCCCCAUCGACUUUGCUUGUCAGACUGGCUGAAGGCCAAAAUUUAUGUUAUGUCAUGUUAUGUUACAUUAUUUGGGAAGUUCCACUAAACUCAGAGAAAUUUCACUCUGAAACUUGAAUCUGAAAAAAUUAAGUUCCCACUCUUCUUCAUCACAGAUAAUUCAGAAAGUUCUGUCCUUCAGGAUACAGAAUCAAUCUUAUCAGCUUCAUUCCCACCUUCAUGUGAAUACGUAAGCGCAGAAUAGGAAGAGAAAACUAAUGAAAUAAUUCUUACCUUUCCUUUUCUGUAAUCACAUUGAAAAAAAAGAGAAAGAGAGAAGCUUAGCUAAACAUGCUUCCACAAAUAUCUGAAGUUAAGAACAAAAAAGUAAAGAAUCCAAGUGCCAAUAUGAGUGAGAAGAAAAUUGCAAUACAACAAAAGACAGGCAGUAGCAAUUUAUUCUGAAUCCCAGAGACACCUGGUGAUUUCCUAUUAUGUGACUGAUAUAUUACCGGGAUGGUCUCACAGUAACAGCCAGAAGUCAACAUUACUGAACGUGGAGUUCUUUUUCGUUAGUCACCACUGUUCAUUUAAACAGGCUGAACACAGCAGGAGUCUCUUUGGAGUUCUUAAAGCCAGCAAAUCAACUGCCAGGUAAAGCUAGGCAGGAAGUAAAAAGCAUAGUACAUCCAUUUGUGUGUUUUUGACUCAGUAAAUUGCCUUUAAAACAUCCAGAAACUGACAUUUUGCACGGACUUAAGUACAUUCAACCAUCUGUCACAGUCAAAAUGUUUCUGUCUUGGAAAUGGGGGCCAUUAACAAGUCUAAAAACACCAGGCCCUUGCUGCCACUCUUUGGCUUAAUUUAGAGAUGUCCUAAUAAAGGAAGUGUGGUUGAAAAUGCAAAUAGUGUUUGUUUUUUCAGUAAUUUCUGUGGAAGAUUCUGUGAAAGAACAUGCUUGCUUUAAAAAAAAAACUUCUUGCAGCCAGGUGUGUUGUGGACCAAGUACCUAUCAGUCUGAAUCCUGAAGUCCCACAAGAUCUUGAGUUUCUCAUUCUCUAAAACUUUCUCAACCUGAUGUUCCCAGUGGUUUUUGCUGUACUCAAAUCCAAACUUCUGGCACAAUUUCCAAUGAAUGAUCUUAGCAACGCGGUCAUGGCAUUAACAAGAAGGCUAUCACAUCACCAAAGUAUCACCAGCAAUAAGAGGAGAAUAAAACAAGAGCAGGAAGUAACCACUUGUAUGUUACCGACCUGCUGUAUUGGUCUCGUCUUGCAUGGGGUGCAUCAGACGGAAGGGCAACUCCAUGCUCACAUCACUUUGGAAACAGGAAAAAAGGGUGGUGAUUCAGGAUUCCACUGUUCCAAAGCAAAUUCUGAUCAUUUCUUAGACGCCACUAAAUCUUUUCUCCUAAUUUUUCAUCAGUAUUUGAAAAUGUAAACUAGAUUACAGUACUGCAGAUUGAAAGUAAUCAGAACCUAAAUAAAUAAGCAAACUUAUAUUUUUACACACUAUCAUAGUUGCCUAAGAUUUUAAGUUAGAGUUACUAUAAUUGUAGCCUAGAAUAUGUGAAAUAGGCUCCCUUUGAAUCUAUUUUUAAAUUUUUAAAUCACAGAUAAAACCCUGAAGCUGAAAAAUGCAAAAACAUGGAAAUUAUUAUGUAAAACUCCAGGUGUGUGACCCAUAAAAAUUAGCAAUGAAUGACUUGUUUUUAAAUAUCCUGAUAUGCAAAUAUCAGUUUUUAAAUAUCCUAAUAUAGAAUUCCAAAUACAAAAAUCCAAUACCAAAAUCAGUGUUGUGGUGAG